ACGCCCAAAAAAGUUCACAUUGUUUCAAAAAAGUAUGAACUCGGAGCCUGUACGGCCAGUUUAUGAAAAAGAAUUGCCACAUGUGACUUCAUGUCGUUCUGUGUUUGACAUUGACAAUUUGACAAUGGAUUUGACUUUGACGAUUUGACGUUUGUGAUUUUAUUUUCUGUUCGAUUUCUCUUCUGAUCAAUUUCUAUUCUUCGAUUUUAAUUUAAUUUUAUUGUAAAUUUGUAAACUAGCUGUAAAUAUCACAUUUUAAAAUAAAUUAAUAACAUAAUAGAUUUAGCUUGAUCUACAGGUGACAAUAAUGGUAGCUACAAUUACCAGAAACAAAUAACUGUAAAGAAACAAAUUGUACAUAGUCAUUCAAUUUUGUUGAUUAUUAUAAUUUUAAACCCCAUUAAAUUGGACCAAAUUCAAAUUCCAAAUGAUGGCUGGGUCGGCGUUAAGAAGACUGAUGGCCGAAUAUAAACUGCAGUAGUGGGUCAAUCUCAGGUGGGUCAGGGUGCAACUGGACACAAACUGCAAGGGAUCGAGAAUUAUGGAAAAGCUUGGAAACCUUUGUCCUAGGGGACAAUCUGACGAACUCUGAAGAAAGGCUAUAUUAUUAUAAUUAUUAUUUUGAC